GACGUAGGAUGCAAGCGUUGUCCGGAUUUAUUGGGCGUAAAGAGUUCGUAGGUGGUUUGGUAAGUCUGAUGUUAAAGAUCUGGGCUCAACCCGGGGAGUGCAUUGGAUACUGCCAGACUGGAGUGUAGUAGAGGCAAGCGGAAUUCCAGGUGUAGCGGUGAAAUGCGUAGAUAUCUGGAAGAACACCAGUGGCGUAAGCGGCUUGCUGGGCUAUAACUGACACUGAGGAACGAAAGCCAGGGGAGCGAAUGGG
rnacentral:rRNA from 1 species